GACUCCUCCAGCACGCUGCAAACCCCCUCUCACUUCCACCCUCCUCCACUGACGUGAGGGCAUCCUAACUCUGCAUCUUCAGCUCCUAAAUCCCUUGGUGACCCCACCCCUCCCUUCUCACCCUGCAGCUCCUGGUUUUCCAGCUGCUAGCUCCAGGCACUGAAGGUAAAGAAAAGUGAGAUACAGAGGAUUCUGGUGCUUGCCAUGAUGUUCAUAACAGCAGAGAAGCACUGAUCUUCAACAGUGUUUGCAGCAUGGAACACAUGCCUACACGCUCUGCAUCUUCCUACCAGUGUGUGUUCUUCAGCUAAUCUGCUCAUUCACAUGAUACAGGAAUUUCUUCAGGCCUCACAGCUAGAAAAAAUAAAACAAAGCUGCUAUAGAAGAUGACUGACUGCUGUGCGCAAGAACUUCUUUACGGUGAGGGUGACGGAGCGCUGGAACAGGCUGCCCAGGGAGGUGGUGGAG